ACCAUUGCCUCUCACCUCGCUCUCUUCUCCUUCCUCUCUCCCCUCCCCUGCGCCACACGCCCCACUGCCGCCCGCGCGCGCCCUCACCUCCUCCGAGACCGCCGGAGACCCCCACCCUCUCCUCUAACCCACCACCGCCGACGCCCCCCACCUUCUCCUUCUUUCCCAAGCGCCCGAAACCCUAGCCCGCGGCGCAGCCAUGGCGACCGAGCUCUGGAUCCGCGGGCUGGAGGUGCAGCACCGGAUGCGCCGUCGACGACGUCCACGCGAUCCUCCCUCCCUUCCCCUACGCCGCCUCCCUCCGCCCUCGCGAUCCGAUUCAAAUCCAUCCUCGACAGACAGAACCCUCCUUCGCUCUCCCGAUUCCCCUCCCGAUUUCAUCCCCAAUCCUUCUCGAGACGACAGCAAUUCGAUCCCGAGAUAGUCAAUCCCAGGGACCCUCGCGAGCAAUCCAAUCGAAGCCAUCAACCUCGAGAGGCAGUUCGAUUCGACCGAUCUCGCGCGCCGAGGAGGAGAGAGCGAUGAAGAAGAUCUUCGGGGCCAAGAAGAGCCAGGACCCGCCGCCGUCCAUCCAGGACGCCACCGACCGGAUAUACAAGCGGGGGGACACGUGGACGAGAAGAUCAAGAAGCUGGACGCGGAGCUGGCGCGCUACAAGGAGCAGAUCAAGAAGACCAGGCCCGGACCCGCGCAGGAGUCCGUCAAGGCGCGCGCCAUGAGGAUCCUCAAGCAGCGCAAGAUGGACUUGCUAAGCAAUCUUAUGCGGGGCACAAUACCGGUGUCGUUCGGAAGCCUAACUCACCUGCGGCAAAACGGCAGCAGUGCCAUGAAGCAGCUUUGUUUCUUGUUCUCUACUCUGCUUUGAACUGAACUUAUUUCAGUUAGCAACUGUAUACUAAAUUUCGGAGUAUGGGUGCUUUCUUGUGAAUUGUGAUGUUGUUCCCAUCACAUUAGAUUAGGUUAAUUACAUCCACAACUAUAGUAGCUUCUGUCCAAGUGCUCUUCAUCUUGUGUGUCAUCUGCAAGGCAAUCAAGUUAAUUAGAUGUUGUUCUUUUCAUGUUCUGCUUCAUACAUACAUGCAUAUGUGAUUAACCUAAAGGAAAUACUAUCUAUGCACUAAAUCUGAAAAGGAAAUGUUGACUGUUGUUGUGUUGGUAUUGAUGACUCUAAGUGGCAACUAUUCUGAAUUAUUUUGAGAACUUAUAACAUGAUCUUGGACCCCUAAUGGAUGAUCGAUGCAUAAUUCUUUUAUAUGCUGCAUGAUGUGUGUGUUCCUUUUUUCUUGUAUUAUUAUUCUGAGAACUUUCUGAGAACUGUCUGAUUCUCCGAAGCACUGAAUAUGUAUUGCCAUCUUUUAUGUUUGACAGUAAUCAGUGCGAAAGGUUGAUCUUCAAACAGGAAAAGUACCAAGCAACCAUUGCCUCAGUCUUCUGUUUGUAGAUUUCCAAACUAUUCCUGGAACCUUUACCUGCUAGUCAAAAUUGGUGUAGCAAAUUUUCAUUAGCACUAGUAAACGGUGGUAUCACAUCUAUGAUAUUAUGCUGCUGUUGAUGUGCUAUUUAUAGCUACAGUUUAACACUAUUAAUUAGGCUUGCUGGACAUGCAUGUCUUCUUGCACAGAUAAAACAUCAUAGUGUUAGUCAAGUAUUUGCACAGAUAUGUCUUCUUGCGCCACAUCAGUUGGUCCUGGAUAGAAGAAUAUGGUGCUGGUUGCACCUUUCUUCGAUAAUCUGACUUGGUGUCAUUUUUCCAGUAACUGAUCUCGUGUACCCAAGUCUAGUACGUAUCUUUUAUGUUUGCUGGCUUGCAUGUUUGCUGAAGCGUACUAUGCUUGCCAAGACCAGGUUUCUGUUCCUUUUGGUAUUACUUGAUCUUUUUUGACAAUCUAACUAGACGACUAUUUCCAGCCUUUGAACUCCUAGGAGUUUUUAACACAAAUUGUAACAGAUGCUGCCUUGCUAAUGGAAGAUGAGGAUGAGGGGCGCACCUAGCCGUCGGCCCUGCUUUGCUCGAGGAGGAGGGGCAUGAGAGGCCUUCUCCUCUGCCCCUAGUGCGACCAAGAGGUCUUGCCCGAGAUCAAGCACGGCCACGACGACCCACCACGGCAGGUGAAGGUUUUCAAAUGUUGAAGGAGCAGGACAAUAGGAACUUCUGUGAUGUCUUGUCAUAUAUUUUCUUUUCUUUUCUGUAGAAUAGUUUUGUUUGGCACUUACUGGUUCCUUGGAUGUAAAGAUAUGUACUGCUAGAAUGAAUGCAUGUAAAGAUAUUUUGGGCUCCUAUAACAUUUAAUGUUGCUUUGAAAAUGUAUCGGAACUGGGCUAGGCCCAAGAUAGCUUGUAGCGUGAUGUGUUGUAAUAUCAAUGGCAUAAUAAAAAAAGUUGGACUGGAUCAA